CCCGCCGCAGCAGAGAGAGCCCGAAAAAGAGCGGUAGGCGAAUGCGGAGACCGAACGCCUCGCGGGCCCCGGGGCCGGUGUCCGAGUUGAGCCGGGGGGAUCUCGAUCGGAUUUUACCGCACUUUGCCAGACGAUGCCGCCUGACCUGCUGAGCUCCUCCAGCACAUCGUGUGUAUUGCUCUAAAUUUCCAGCAUUUGCAGUACCUCAUGUCUUUGAAGAUGAUCUGCUUUUGACAAGCAAGUUUGUGCCAUAUCUAUACUUCAAGAUCGAUCUUUCCUGAGGUUUGGUGCCUGCAGUGCUUCAGACUGAAGCACAACUUCUCUUGAUCCCAGCUGCUGAGAUAAUGGCAAACUUUCCUUUAAUCUUUGUUUUGUAUCUAUUGCAUAAGUUUUGUUAGUUUGGAACUGGUCAGAUCACUUGUAAUUUAGUAAGAUUUUACUGCCUGCAGUCUUACUUAACAUUCUUAUCAUGCAUUAGCAAAAACAUUCACUUGGCUAACCCUAAAUUUUCAUAAAUGCAUUCUGGAUACAAUUACUUUUUGAUUCAUCAAAUUACUCUCAGAUCUGACUGUUUUCAAAUCUCAUUUGUACAAAACUUUUCUAUGCUUGGGAAAAGGUCUUUUUCCAAUUUUGGAAUGUCCAUUGACUUUGUAAAGUUGUAAAAUCUUUAAAACCUUUCCCAUAAUUUUUUUUCAGAUUUUAUCUGAGCUCAGACUGAUUUAGCUUGUUUUUAAGUUAAAGGCAUUAAGUGUCAAAUUGUUAUUUUCCUGUUUAAAUGUAAGUCAAACCUACUUCACAUUUAAUUAUCAGUUAAAAUUCACUAAUAUUUCACUUGCCAUCUAGCUAAUUGAGGAGUUGUUCCUCAAUAUAGCAUUUCUUGUAUUUUGAUUAAAGUUAACUAUAAAUCUGCUAGUCUACUUGAAAAUAAAAAUCUUUC